rnacentral:rRNA from 1 species
CAGUCGCCGCGGUAAUACAGAGGGUGCGAGCGUUAAUCGGAUUUACUGGGCGUAAAGCGUGCGUAGGCGGCUUUUUAAGUCGGAUGUGAAAUCCCUGAGCUUAACUUAGGAAUUGCAUUCGAUACUGGGUCACUAGAGUGUGGUAGAGGAUAGUGGAAUUUCCGGUGUAGCAGUGAAAUGCGUAGAGAUCUGGAGGAAUACCGAUGGCGAAGGCAGCCAUCUGGCCUAACACUGACGCUGAGGUACGAAAGCAUGGGGAGCAAACAGGAUUAGAUACCCCCGUAGUCCCUGUCUCUUAUAC